CAUUUCUAUAGAGUGAGUGCUUCUCUCAUCCAUACAAGGCAUUCUAAAGGGAAAUUAUGUAUUCAAAAUUUUAUAAAGGACAAAUUCAAUGAAUUAUAAGCAAAACUGAGAGAAGUACAUGUUACACUAGUUAAGAGUUUAACUUUAGUCUCUAAUUUGAGUUUAGCCUAGGUAAUUAAUUAAUGAUGUUGUAUUGAUCCUUGUGUUUGUAUGAUUGUAGAGACCGUCCUGGAGUGUUUG